rnacentral:rRNA from 1 species
AGUGAACGCUGGCGGUAGGCCUAACACAUGCAAGUCGAACGGCAGCACAGUAAGAGCUUGCUCUUACGGGUGGCGAGUGGCGGACGGGUGAGGAAUACAUCGGAAUCUACUUUUUCGUGGGGGAUAACGUAGGGAAACUUACGCUAAUACCGCAUACGACCUACGGGUGAAAGCAGGGGAUCUUCGGACCUUGCGCGAGUGAAUGAGCCGAUGUCGGAUUAGCUAGUUGGCGGGGUAAAGGCCCACCAAGGCGACGAUCCGUAGCUGGUCUGAGAGGAUGAUCAGCCACACUGGAACUGAGACACGGUCCAGACUCCUACGGGAGGCAGCAGUGGGGAAUAUUGGACAAUGGGCGCAAGCCUGAUCCAGCCAUACCGCGUGGGUGACGAAGGCCUUCGGGUUGUAAAGCCCUUUUGUUGGGAAAGAAAAGCAGCAGGUUAAUACCCCGCUGUUCUGACGGUACCCAAAGAAUAAGCACCGGCUAACUUCGUG